GACGAACGCUGGCGGCGUGCUUAACACAUGCAAGUCGAACGGAAAGGCCCUGCUUUUGUGGGGUGCUCGAGUGGCGAACGGGUGAGUAACACGUGAGUAACCUGCCCUUGACUUUGGGAUAACUUCAGGAAACUGGGGCUAAUACCGGAUAGGAGCUCCUGCCGCAUGGUGGGGGUUGGAAAGUUUCGGCGGUUGGGGAUGGACUCGCGGCUUAUCAGCUUGUUGGUGGGGUAGUGGCUUACCAAGGCUUUGACGGGUAGCCGGCCUGAGAGGGUGACCGGCCACCUUGGGACUGAGAUACGGCCCAGACUCCUACGGGAGGCAGCAGUGGGGAAUAUUGCACAAUGGGCGGAAGCCUGAUGCAGCAACGCCGCGUGCGGGAUGACGGCCUUCGGGUUGUAAACCGCUUUCGCCUGUGACGAAGCGUGAGUGACGGUAAUGGGUAAAGAAGCACCGGCUAACUACGUG
rnacentral:rRNA from 1 species